UGGGGGAUAUUGCACAAUCGGGGGGGAAACCCUGAUGCAGCGACGCCGCGUGGGUGAAGGAGUGCUUCGGCAUGUUAAAGCCCUAUCGGCAGGGAAGAAGCAAGACGGUACCUGACUAAGAAGCCCCGGCUAACUACGUGCC
rnacentral:rRNA from 1 species